rnacentral:rRNA from 1 species
CUUGCUCCUCUGAUUUAGCGGCGGACGGGUGAGUAACACGUGGGUAAUCUGCCUGUAAGACGGGGAUAACUCCGGGAAACCGGGGCUAAUACCGGAUAAUAAGAGAAGAAGCAUUUCUUCUUUUUGAAAGUCGGUUUCGGCUGACACUUACAGAUGAGCCCGCGGCGCAUUAGCUAGUUGGUGAGGUAACGGCUCACCAAGGCGACGAUGCGUAGCCGACCUGAGAGGGUGAUCGGCCACACUGGGACUGAGACACGGCCCAGACUCCUACGGGAGGCAGCAGUAGGGAAUCUUCGGCAAUGGGCGAAAGCCUGACCGAGCAACGCCGCGUGAGCGAUGAAGGCCUUCGGGUCGUAAAGCUCUGUUGUUAGAGAAGAACAAGUACGAGAGUAACUGCUCGUACCUUGACGGUACCUAACCAGAAAGCCACGGCUAACUACGUGCCAGCAGCCGCGGUAAUACGUAGGUGGCAAGCGUUAUCCGGAAUUAUUGGGCGUAAAGCGCGCGCAGGCGGUCUCUUAAGUCUGAUGUGAAAGCCCACGGCUCAACCGUGGAGGGUCAUUGGAAACUGGGAGACUUGAGUGCAGGAGAGAAAAGUGGAAUUCCACGUGUAGCGGUGAAAUGCGUAGAGAUGUGGAGGAACACCAGUGGCGAAGGC